rnacentral:rRNA from 1 species
UACGGAGGGGACUAGCGUUGUUCGGAAUUACUGGGCGUAAAGCGCACGUAGGCGGAUUUGUAAGUCAGGGGUGAAAUCCCGGGGCUCAACCCCGGAACUGCCUUUGAUACUGGGUAUCUCGAGUCCGAGAGAGGUGAGUGGAAUUCCGAGUGUAGAGGUGAAAUUCGUAGAUAUUCGGAGGAACACCAGUGGCGAAGGCGGGUUGCUGGGCUGACACUGACGCUGAGGCGCGAAAGCUAGGGGAGCGAACGGG